rnacentral:rRNA from 1 species
GAUGAACGCUGGCGGCAGGCCUAACACAUGCAAGUCGAGCGAGGACUUCGGUCCUAGCGGCGGACGGGUGAGUAACGCGUGGGAACGUGCCCUUUGCUACGGAAUAGCCCCGGGAAACUGGGAGUAAUACCGUAUGUGCCCGAGAAGGGAAAGAUUUAUCGGCAAAGGAUCGGCCCGCGUUGGAUUAGGUAGUUGGUGGGGUAAUGGCCUACCAAGCCGACGAUCCAUAGCUGGUUUGAGAGGAUGAUCAGCCACACUGGGACUGAGACACGGCCCAGACUCCUACGGGAGGCAGCAGUGGGGAAUCUUAGACAAUGGGGGAAACCCUGAUCUAGCCAUGCCGCGUGAGCGAUGAAGGCCUUAGGGUUGUAAAGCUCUUUCAGUGGGGAAGAUAAUGACGGUACCCACAGAAGAAGCCCCGGCUAACUCCGUGCCAGCCGCCGCGGUAA